GACAGGAUUUUUCUGUGUAGCCCUGGCUGUCUUGGAACUCAUUCUGUAGUCCAGGCUGGCUUUGAACUCAGAGAUCCUUCUGCUUUUACCUCCUGAGUGCUGGGAUGAAAGCUGUGUGUCACUACGUCCAUGAACAUUUAGCUUCUAAGUAAUAAUCUCAGAGUACUUUUCAAAGUAAGACAUAGAAAUGAUGGAGGGAAAGGUAUUUGAUUUGUCCCCUGAUACCUUGUUAGUUGGUAAUUGACUGACUUCACCCCCUUUUUUCUUUAGUCUGGUCACAGGUUGUUUUUGUUAACACUCAUUUUUUUUUUUUUUUUGUGUGUGUGUGUCUCAGCCUUCUUUAGCUCCAGCAGGUCACCACAGGGGAGAAGUCUGCUCUGAGAUACAGCUCAGCUGGUAGAACUCUUGCCUAGCCUGUGUGAGGUCCUGGGUUUGAUCACUGGCACCACAAGAAACUAGGUGUGUGUGGGGAGCAUGUCUAAUUUCAAGAGUAGGGGACGGAGCCAGGAGGAUCAGAAGUUUAAGGUCAUUCUUACCUGAAGAGGGAGUUGAGGAAGUCCUGGACCAGAGAACUUGUCUAACAACCAAAGGGAAUAUUAUUAACUGAAAGAUUGAAUCAGUAUCGAGAUCUAGUGCCAAGGCAGAUAAGCAGGUACCUAGUUCCAUUUUUAGGUUUAUGAACCUUAACUUACACAGUCUUCAAGGAAAAAAUUUCUAAAAGACUUGCUAAUUUUACAGAAACAAAUGACCCAGUGAGCCUGGCUUGAACAACAAGUUUCAAGGCUCCAGCUUGACAUCACAGUACAUCUGUGCACAGUCCAGAAUGGCCACACGUAGCUCUUUCUACCUUCCCCCUUUCUUUAGCCCUAGCCCCAGAGGAGGAGCUUGAAUGGGUUUCUUCUAUGGAUAGGGUCUGAGAUGCUCUCGGGAUCUUGGCGUUUAAGGACCCUGCAAAACCUUGUGUUCUAUAAACGUUACAAAUUUGACUGAUUUUCAGGACUCUGAGCAGCAUGGCUGUGACAACAGCACUAGCCUCACCUACAGAAGCAGACUUGGUUUCAUCAAAGACGUUUCUUUUAGCCUGUUGGCAAUUACGUAUGUCUACUUAGACAGGAUUCUGGGUGAAAUCCCCAUGUCUUCAGUGUGUCAAGACACUGGACAAUCCAUCCCUUUGAUCCUCUGAGUCCCCCAGGACUGCACAUUUGGACCGUGGGGGCCUGCUCCAGUGCAAGCAGAUCCAGUGAGGAGGUGCAGGGAUCUUGACAUCCUCAAGGCAACUUUCAACCAGUGAGGGGUGUGAGGGAAUUGGGGUGGAGAGUAGACAAUGGGGGGCGGUUGGAGAGUAGACAAGUUCUCUAGGUUCCCUUUCCCACAGCAGCUCAACUGUACAAAAUUAGUUAGACAGCCUCAGUGCCUCCGUCACACUCUCCUCCCCACUGUGGACCCCUUCCUUCCCCCCUCCUCUCUUUCCUUCCAUACUUCUGUUUCCUGGGAUUACAUCCAAAGCAAACCCUCUGCCCCAGGUCUUGGACUUGCAAUCUGUUUCUAGGUUAGCCUAGACAGUUUAAAACUUCUCAUUAAGGAAAAUCAAUACCUUCGCAACUUGAUUAUGGGACAGAGAGAAGAAAGGUUUCUGCUUUACCAUCACUUGGAGCCUCACAGUCUGCCUUAAUUACCUGGAUGUUCUUGCUUCUCCCCCUCCUGACUGGCAGCCUCUCCCUCUCCAGGGAUCAUUUCCAUUGUCUCCACUCUCCAGCUAUAGCCUGGAGACUCGAGAUCAGACAGAACGGUUAUGGGGCCAUGUAAGGCAAGCAUGCUGUUGCGGGGGGUGGGGGGGGAGUAUUAUUUUAUUUCACUUUUGGAUCGACUAGUGAAGCUUUCGAAAGACACAUGGAAGCAAUCGAAAAGAGAAAGACUUUAUGUCUUUUUGGAGCAAUGCAUAUUUAUUCAAAUUAUAGUUGGAUACCGUUAUGAUAGAGGAUUUUUAGGGGAAAAAAAUCUUGGGUUUCAUUUUCAAAGCUAUAGAUUUCUUAUAUUGUAUAGUUUUGGACAGAAACAGAACGACCUAGCUUGGGGUUUCAGUUAGAAUUUUGUACUUUUCACAGGACAUUUUUUCCUACUGAAAACACAGAUUAAUUCAUUUGUCCAAGGAUCUCCACAGCAGUUCUUGUUAACAAUGGACCAACGACUGACAUGUACCUGGAUCUACUUCUGAAGUCUUUAUCCCAUCUCACUGGUGAACUGAUCUACCCUGUGCUAGGGCAAAAUCUGUUAGUGACUAGAGCUAAGUCUCAGUUUCUACUCAGGUAUUUUCUCUCAUUUUUCUUUAUUUCUGAAAUGCUGAGUAAGAAUCUUGAUGGAUUAGUUACUUUUCUUGUUCCAGAUACCUGAUAUGUUAGUUGUUUUUCCAGCAACUAUAAUAAAAUGCUCAACGAAAGCUACUCACAGAAAAAGUAAGCAUUUAAUUGGCUCAUGGUUUAAAGAGACACAUUCUGUCAUGCUGGUAAAGUCAUGGCAGCAGAAAGUGAUGAUUUCUGGCCUACAGUUGACUCUCCCCUGUCUCUUCUUUUUAAUUCAGUCUGUAAGCUCAACUCAUGGGAUUGUUCUGCCUACAGUCAGGGUAGAUCUUUCUCCCCAGCUAAACCUCUCUAGAAAUACCUUUCUAGACAUACCAACUAAUAUGUCUCCUAGGUGAUUCUAAACACAGUCAAGUUGAAAAUGAAGAUUCAGCACCCAAAGGUAUCACUUUAAAUGAUAGUAUUCCACACCUGGACCCUAAAACCUCAUAUCCACUCAUCUUAUAAAGCAAUAUACAUUUAUCUCAUCUCUAAAAACACUUCAAUCCUUAGUAGUUCCAAUACUGUUUCAAAGCAUAGGACAAAAGUCUCUUCUGAGCUUCAAAACAGUCUCUUAGCUAUGAGCCCUAGUAAAAUCAAAUCAAUUAGUUACCUCUUAUUGAUGUGCAGUAAGUAGCACAAAGAAAACAUUCUAGUUCUGAAAGGGAGGGGUAUGGGAAUAGCAAGGAAAUUAACAAUUCUUUAUCUGUUGAUGCAGCGGUUAAAAGAGCCCUCGGUGGCUACCUAGCAGUUUCAACUUUGAGUUGAGUUCAUUAGAACCAUUGUUGUGCCCCCCAACGCCCCCACCCCAGCAGUAAGAGUUAUUACCUUAGGACCAAGACUUCUAUAUUAGUAGAGUCCAAAGUUGUAGUGAUAGAACGCAGAUGUUUUUCUAGACGAUCUCUGGGGUUAAUAGUGAGAAGAGCCCUUAUACAAUGGCUCCCCUCCUGAUAUCCAACUCCCAUGAAUCAUGGUGAUGGGAGAAACCAAUAUCAUCAUACACUGAUUACUGACUACAGUAGUCACAGUCUCCAUCCUAGACGGUGCUUUCCCUGCUUUGAAAGUCGUUGCCCUCUAGAUGACACCAUAAAGGAGUCUUUGAAUGUCCAUCUCACUGCACCGGCAGGCUGGUUAUUUCUAGGUGAUGGAGAGUAAGAGAAGAACAAGCAAAUUUCAUGAGCACAGGCCUUUUCUAUGCUUUCACUCGUGACCAAGUAACUCCUUAGGAAUAAAUAGUGCAGAUAUAUCAUGCUAAUGGUAUCCACAAACGGUCGUUUCAGUGAAAGAAUUGCAGGCAGGAAAAGAAGGUCAUAACCAGAGCAACUGUCUCCUUCAAUAAAGCAAAGCACUACUCUUGGUACGAUUGGAGGAGUGAACCCACUAAAUCAAUCUGCUACUAGGGGUCUGUCUGGUGCUCUGGGGAACUAGAUCACACGGGGUCUUAACUUUAAAUGCUUAGCAUUGCUAGCUAGAGCCAGAUUGAUGUUAGAGAGUGGAAAGCCAUAAUGCUCAGUCGACACCUACCUUCCAACCCUGCUGUUACUGUUCAUGAACCUAUUGGGCAACGGUGAGAGUGGACAAACAAUUGGUUUGGAACACUGGAAGGUUGGUGUGUCUAGAAAGGCAAUCUGUAUGGUGGAAAUUCUUUUAAAGUCUGUUUUAAGUAAAAUUAUUUUACAAUGUA